GAAGAAGUGAAUUAAGGGCAUUUGGUGGAUGCCU
rnacentral:rRNA from 16 species